GAUGAACGCUGGCGGCGUGCCUAAUACAUGCAAGUCGAGCGAACGGACGAGAAGCUUGCUUCUCUGAUGUUAGCGGCGGACGGGUGAGUAACACGUGGAUAACCUACCUAUAAGACUGGGAUAACUUCGGGAAACCGGAGCUAAUACCGGAUGAUAUUUUGAACCGCAAGGUUCAAAAGUGAAAGACGGUCUUGCUGUCACUUAUAGAUGGAUCCGCGCUGCAUUAGCUAGUUGGUAAGGUAACGGCUUACCAAGGCAACGAUGCAUAGCCGACCUGAGAGGGUGAUCGGCCACACUGGAACUGAGACACGGUCCAGACUCCUACGGGAGGCAGCAGUAGGGAAUCUUCCGCAAAGGGCGAAAGCCUGACGGAGCAACGCCGCGUGAGUGAUGAAGGUCUUCGGAUCGUAAAACUCUGUUAUUAGGGAAGAACAUAUGUGUAAGUAACUGUGCACAUCUUGACGGUACCUAAUCAGAAAGCCACGGCUAACUACGUG
rnacentral:rRNA from 1 species